UGGGGAAUAUUGGACAAUGGGCGAAAGCCUGAUCCAGCCAUGCCGCGUGUGUGAAGAAGGUCUUCGGAUUGUAAAGCACUUUAAGUUGGGAGGAAGGGCAUUAACCUAAUACUUUAGUGUUUUGACGUUACCGACAGAAUAAGCACCGGCUAACUCUGUGCCAGCAGCCGCGGUAAUACAGAGGGUGCAAGCGUUAAUCGGAAUUACUGGGCGUAAAGCGCGCGUAGGUGGUUUGUUAAGUUGGAUGUGAAAUCCCCGGGCUCAACCUGGGAACUGCAUUCAAAACUGACUGACUAGAGUAUGGUAGAGGGUGGUGGAAUUUCCUGUGUAGCGGUGAAAUGCGUAGAUAUAGGAAGGAACACCAGUGGCGAAGGCGACCACCUGGACUAAUACUGACACUGAGGUGCGAAAGCGUGGGGAGCAAACA
rnacentral:rRNA from 1 species